rnacentral:rRNA from 1 species
AACGAACGCUGGCGGCAGGCUUAACACAUGCAAGUCGAACGGGAUCUUCGGAUCUAGUGGCAGACGGGUGAGGAACACGUGGGAACAUCCCUUUCAGUUCGGAAUAACGUUGGGAAACUAACGCUAAUACCGGAUACGUCCUUCGGGAGAAAGAUUUAUCGCUGAAAGAUUGGCCCGCGUCUGAUUAGCUAGUUGGUGAGGUAAUGGCUCACCAAGGCUACGAUCAGUAGCUGAUCUGAGAGGAUGAUCAGCCACAUUGGGACUGAUACACGGCCCAAACUCCUACGGGAGGCAGCAGUGGGAAUAUUGGACAAUGGGCGCAAGCCUGAUCCAGCCAUGCCGCGUGAGUGAUGACGGCCUUCGGGUUGUAAAGCUCUUUUGUCCGGGAAGAUAAUGACUGUACCGGAAGAAUAAGCCCCGGCAAACUUCGUGCCAGCAGCCGCAGUAA